rnacentral:rRNA from 1 species
GAUGAACGCUGGCGGCGUGCCUAAUACAUGCAAGUCGAACGAAACUUCUUUAUCACCGAGUGCUUGCACUCACCGAUAAAGAGUUGAGUGGCGAACGGGUGAGUAACACGUGGGCAACCUGCCCAAAAGAGGGGGAUGACACUUGGAAACAGGUGCUAAUACCGCAUAACCAUAGUUACCGCAUGGUAACUAUGUAAAAGGUGGCUAUACUACCGCUUUUGGAUGGGCCCGCGGCGCAUUAGCUAGUUGGUAGGGUAAAGGCUUACCAAGGCAAUGAUGCGUAGCCGAAUUGAGAGGUUGAUCGGCCACAUUGGGACUGAGACACGGCCCAAACUCCUACGGGAGGCAGCAGUAGGGAAUCUUCCACAAUGGGCGAAAGCCUGAUGGAGCAACGCCGCGUGGGUGAAGAAGGUCUUCGGAUCGUAAAACCCUGUUGUUAGAGAAGAAAGUGCGUGAGAGUAACUGUUCACGUUUCGACGGUAUCUAACCAGAAAGCCACGGCUAACUACGUG